rnacentral:rRNA from 1 species
UGGGGAAUAUUGCACAAUGGGCGCAAGCCUGAUGCAGCCAUGCCGCGUGUGUGAAGAAGGCCUUCGGGUUGUAAAGCACUUUCAGCGAGGAGGAAGGUGGUGAGCUUAGUACGCUCAUCAAUUGACGUUACUCGCAGAAGAAGCACCGGCUAACUCCGUGCCAGCAGCCGCGGUAAUACGGAGGGUGCAAGCGUUAAUCGGAAUUACUGGGCGUAAAGCGCACGCAGGCGGUUUGUUAAGUCAGAUGUGAAAUCCCCGGGCUCAACCUGGGAACUGCAUUUGAAACUGGCAAGCUAGAGUCUCGUAGAGGGGGGUAGAAUUCCAGGUGUAGCGGUGAAAUGCGUAGAGAUCUGGAGGAAUACCGGUGGCGAAGGCGGCCCCCCUGGACGAAGACUGACGCUCAGGUGCGAAAGCGUGGGGCAGCAAACAGGAUUAGAUACCCUGGUAGUCCACGCUGUAAAACGAUGUCGAUUUGGAGGUUGUGCCCUUGAGGCGUGGCUUCCGGAGCUAACGCGUUAAAUCGACCGCCUGGGGAGUACGGCC